rnacentral:misc_RNA from 1 species
AAAAAACUUUGAUCUUUCAAACAAAAAGCCAGGUCGACCAAACUGUUCAUCAUAUGCUAGAUAGAUAUAGAUGCUCUUGUGAAUAUGUGAUUGAUCCUAAAUAACUAGAAUGUAGUGCUUUUACUAUUGUUUUACAUGAUAGGUAUCUGUAUAAUUCUUAAUGCAAGAUCUAAAAUUUCUUCCAUGAUUUUGUUAAAAUUUAUAAUGAUAUUUAAGUAGGAGAAAACAACAAGAGAAGGAUUUAUGUGGUUCGAGAAUAAGUUCAUGGACACGAACUUCAAAAAGACUAUAUACAUGAUAUAUAUAUAGAAUGCUAUCACUAAAUUAUAAAUGACUCUUUAAGAUUUUGCAAAUCAAUCUCAUAAUUUUCUCGUAAUCAUAAGAUUCUUCACUGAGACGUACCUCAUGCAUUAAGAAAAAAUCUCAUCAAUUCCAGCACUUCCCAACUUCCUGAUUGAUGAAGCAUUCUUUCCACUCUUCCCACAUUGUCCUUGCACAUAUUGCUGAUAUUGCAUUCAUUGAUGUGAAGCCAGGGUGGAAGAAGGGAACAAAGAUUACUUUCCCAGAUAAAGGGAAUGAGCAGCUGAAUCAGCUUCCAGCAGACCUCGUGUUCAUCAUUGAUGAGAAACCCCACAAUACCUACAAGAGAGAUGGCAACGACCUCAUCAUAAACCAAAGGGUGGCAUUAGCAGAAGCAAUAGGAGGGACUACAGUAAAUCUCACUACACUUGAUGGUCGUAGCCUGUCUAUUCCAGUACACGAUAUAGUUAGCCCUGGUUAUGAGCUCGUCAUUACCAGUGAAGGUAUGCCAAUCGCUAAGGAGCCAGGCAAUAGGGGCGAUUUAAGGAUAAAAUUUGAAGUGAAGUUCCCAACAAGAUUGACACCAGAGCAACGAGCAGGACUCAAGAGAGCCUUGGGGGGUUGAAGAUUGACGGAACCAUUAUAUGUAUUAGCCACUAGUAUGUGAUAGACUUGGAGGCCAAAUCUGUCUUUUGACCUCACCAAUCUUAUAGAUAUAAGUCUUUUAAUCUGGGAGGAGAUGGCAUAUUAAAAAUGGGGCAUGGCUAAUUGUCUUCCUUACAUUUGUAUGCACCAUUUUAGUUCAACAAUAGCAAAUACAAUACUAGACUACAAUUAUAUUAUGCUUUUUGUGAGGCAUUUUUUAGGGAAGGGUUUGCCCAUGUCUAAUGUAUCAUUAUGUUUUCCCCUAUUGUUAGAUAAUUUUUUACCAGGUUGUUAUUUUCAUUGCUUCUUGCCAAGGAACACGUUCGCUAAAAAUGCUCGUCUUAUUCUUUUUCUCUUCUGAACUAUUUCUCUCAGCCUAAGGCAAGUGUAAAGCUUUUCUAUUACUGUAAUUGAAUGAAAAAAAGGACAACUGAGUUCAUCGUUAAACAGUUA